rnacentral:rRNA from 1 species
UUAAGCGACUAAGCGUACACGGUGGAUGCCCUGGCAGUCAGAGGCGAUGAAGGACGUGCUAAUCUGCGAAAAGCGUCGGUAAGGUGAUAUGAACCGUUACAGCCGGCGAUGUCCGAAUGGGGAAACCCAGUGCAAUUCGUUGCACUAUCGUUAACUGAAUACAUAGGUUAACGAGGCGAACCGGGGGAACUGAAACAUCUAAGUACCCCGAGGAAAAGAAAUCAACCGAGAUUCCCCCAGUAGCGGCGAGCGAACGGGGAGCAGCCCAGAGUCUGAAUCAGCUUGUGUGUUAGUGGAACGGUCUGGAAAGUCCGACGGUACAGGGUGAUAGUCCCGUACACCAAAAUGCACAGGUUGUGAACUCGAAGAGUAGGGCGGGACACGUGGUAUCCUGUCUGAAUAUGGGGGGACCAUCCUCCAAGGCUAAAUACUCCUGACUGACCGAUAGUGAACCAGUACCGUGAGGGAAAGGCGAAAAGAACCCCGGCGAGGGGAGUGAAAAAGAACCUGAAACCGUGUACGUACAAGCAGUGGGAGCACCUUCGGGUGUGACUGCGUACCUUUUGUAUAAUGGGUCAGCGACUUAUAUUCUGUAGCAAGGUUAACCGUAUAGGGGAGCCGCAGGGAAACCGAGUCUUAACUGGGCGUUAAGUUGCAGGGUAUAGACCCGAAACCCGGUGAUCUAGCCAUGGGCAGGUUGAAGGUUGGGUAACACUAACUGGAGGACCGAACCGACUAAUGUUGAAAAAUUAGCGGAUGACUUGUGGCUGGGGGUGAAAGGCCAAUCAAACCGGGAGAUAGCUGGUUCUCCCCGAAAGCUAUUUAGGUAGCGCCUCGUGAACUCAUCUUCGGGGGUAGAGCACUGUUUCGGCUAGGGGGUCAUCCCGACUUACCAACCCGAUGCAAACUACGAAUACCGAAGAAUGUUAUCACGGGAGACACACGGCGGGUGCUAACGUCCGUCGUGAAGAGGGAAACAACCCAGACCGCCAGCUAAGGUCCCAAAGUCAUGGUUAAGUGGGAAACGAUGUGGGAAGGCACAGACAGCCAGGAUGUUGGCUUAGAAGCAGCCAUCAUUUAAAGAAAGCGUAAUAGCUCACUGGUCGAGUCGGCCUGCGCGGAAGAUGUAACGGGGCUAAACCAUGCACCGAAGCUGCGGCAGCGACACUAUGUGUUGUUGGGUAGGGGAGCGUUCUGUAAGCCUGCGAAGGUGUGCUGUGAGGCAUGCUGGAGGUAUCAGAAGUGCGAAUGCUGACAUAAGUAACGAUAAAGCGGGUGAAAAGCCCGCUCGCCGGAAGACCAAGGGUUCCUGUCCAACGUUAAUCGGGGCAGGGUGAGUCGACCCCUAAGGCGAGGCCGAAAGGCGUAGUCGAUGGGAAACAGGUUAAUAUUCCUGUACUUGGUGUUACUGCGAAGGGGGGACGGAGAAGGCUAUGUUAGCCGGGCGACGGUUGUCCCGGUUUAAGCAUGUAGGCUGGUUAUCCAGGCAAAUCCGGAUAAUCAAGGCUGAGGUGUGAUGACGAGGCACUACGGUGCUGAAGUAACAAAUGCCCUGCUUCCAGGAAAAGCCUCUAAGCAUCAGGUAACAUCAAAUCGUACCCCAAACCGACACAGGUGGUCAGGUAGAGAAUACCAAGGCGCUUGAGAGAACUCGGGUGAAGGAACUAGGCAAAAUGGUGCCGUAACUUCGGGAGAAGGCACGCUGGUGUGUAGGUGAAGCCCCUGCGGGUGGAGCUGAGACCAGUCGAAGAUACCAGCUGGCUGCAACUGUUUAUUAAAAACACAGCACUGUGCAAACACGAAAGUGGACGUAUACGGUGUGACGCCUGCCCGGUGCCGGAAGGUUAAUUGAUGGGGUUAUCCGUAAGGAGAAGCUCUUGAUCGAAGCCCCGGUAAACGGCGGCCGUAACUAUAACGGUCCUAAGGUAGCGAAAUUCCUUGUCGGGUAAGUUCCGACCUGCACGAAUGGCGUAAUGAUGGCCAGGCUGUCUCCACCCGAGACUCAGUGAAAUUGAACUCGCUGUGAAGAUGCAGUGUACCCGCGGCAAGACGGAAAGACCCCGUGAACCUUUACUAUAGCUUGACACUGAACAUUGAGCCUUGAUGUGUAGGAUAGGUGGGAGGCUUUGAAGCGUGGACGCCAGUCUGCGUGGAGCCAACCUUGAAAUACCACCCUUUAAUGUUUGAUGUUCUAACGUUGGCCCCUGACCGGGGUUGCGGACAGUGUCUGGUGGGUAGUUUGACUGGGGCGGUCUCCUCCCAAAGCGUAACGGAGGAGCACGAAGGUUAGCUAAUCCUGGUCGGACAUCAGGAGGUUAGUGCAAUGGCAUAAGCUAGCUUGACUGCGAGCGUGACGGCGCGAGCAGGUGCGAAAGCAGGUCAUAGUGAUCCGGUGGUUCUGAAUGGAAGGGCCAUCGCUCAACGGAUAAAAGGUACUCCGGGGAUAACAGGCUGAUACCGCCCAAGAGUUCAUAUCGACGGCGGUGUUUGGCACCUCGAUGUCGGCUCAUCACAUCCUGGGGCUGAAGUAGGUCCCAAGGGUAUGGCUGUUCGCCAUUUAAAGUGGUACGCGAGCUGGGUUUAGAACGUCGUGAGACAGUUCGGUCCCUAUCUGCCGUGGGCGCUGGAGAAUUGAGGGGGGCUGCUCCUAGUACGAGAGGACCGGAGUGGACGCAUCACUGGUGUUCGGGUUGUCAUGCCAAUGGCACUGCCCGGUAGCUAAAUGCGGAAGAGAUAAGUGCUGAAAGCAUCUAAGCACGAAACUUGCCCCGAGAUGAGUUCUCCCUGAGACUAUAAGUCUCCUGAAGGAACGUUAAAGACGAUGACGUUGAUAGGCCGGGUGUGUAAGCGCAGCGAUGCGUUGAGCUAACCGGUACUAAUGAACCGUGAGGCUUAACCUU